rnacentral:rRNA from 1 species
AGUGAACGCUGGCGGUAGGCCUAACACAUGCAAGUCGAACGGCAGCAUAGUAAGAGCUUGCUCUUACGGGUGGCGAGUGGCGGACGGGUGAGGAAUACAUCGGAAUCUACUUUUUCGUGGGGGAUAACGUAGGGAAACUUACGCUAAUACCGCAUACGACUUACGGGUGAAAGCAGGGGAUCUUCGGACCUUGCGCGAUUGAAUGAGCCGAUGUCGGAUUAGCUAGUUGGCGGGGUAAAGGCCCACCAAGGCGACGAUCCGUAGCUGGUCUGAGAGGAUGAGCAGCCACACUGGAACUGAGACACGGUACAGACUCCUACGGUAGGCAGCAGUGGGGUAUAGAGGACAAUGGGCGGAAGCCUGAUCCAGCCAUACCGCGUAGGUGAAGGAAGCCUUCCGGUUGUAGAGCCCUUUUGUUGGGAAGGAAAAACAGCAGGUUAAUACCCCGCUGUUCUGACGGUACCCAAAGAAUAAGCACCGGCUAACUUCGUG